AACGAACGCUGGCGGCAUGCCUAACACAUGCCAGUCGAACGAGACCUUCGGGUCUAGUGGCGCACGGGUGCGUAACGCGUGGGAACCUGCCCUCAGGUUCGGAAUAACUCCCCGAAAGGGGUGCUAAUACCGGAUAAUGUCUUCGGACCAAAGAUUUAUCGCCUUUGGAUGGGCCCGCGUUGGAUUAGCUAGUUGGUAGGGUAAAAGCAUACCAAGGCGACGAUCCAUAGCUGGUCUGAGAGGAUGAUCAGCCACACUGGGACUGAGACACGGCCCAGACUCCUACGGGAGGCAGCAGUGGGGAAUAUUGGACAAUGGGCGAAAGCAUGAUCCAGCAAUGCCGCGUGAGUGAUGAAGGCCUUAGGGUUGUAAAGCUCUUUUACCCGGGAUGAUAAUGACAGUACCGGGAGAAUAAGCUCCGGCUAACUCCGUG
rnacentral:rRNA from 1 species